rnacentral:rRNA from 1 species
AUUGAACGCUGGCGGAAUGCUUUACACAUGCAAGUCGAACGGCAGCACGGACUUCGGUCUGGUGGCGAGUGGCGAACGGGUGAGUAAUACAUCGGAACGUGCCCAGUCGUGGGGGAUAACGUAGCGAAAGCUACGCUAAUACCGCAUACGAUCUAAGGAUGAAAGCGGGGGAUCGCAAGACCUCGCGCGAUUGGAGCGGCCGGUGGCAGAUUAGGUAGUUGGGGGGGUAAAGGCUCAUCAAGCCGACGAUCUGUAGCUGGUCUGAGAGGACGACCAGCCACACUGGGACUGAGACACGGCCCAGCCUCCUACGGGAGGCAGCAGUGGGGAAUUUUGGACAAUGGGCGCAAGCCUGAUCCAGCCAUUCCGCGUGCAGGAUGAAGGCCCUCGGGUUGUAAACUGCUUUUGUACGGAACGAAAAGGCUCUGGUUAAUACCUGGGGCUCAUGACGGUACCGUAAGAAUAAGCACCGGCUAACUACGUGCCAGCAGCCGCCGUAA